rnacentral:lncRNA from 1 species
UACCCCCCAACGGGUCCCGUACCAAAAACCACCAUUCACAGUCGGCGAACUCAAGAAAGCAAUCCCGCCCCAUUGUUUCAACCGAUCCGUUAUCCGCUCGUUCUCAUACGUCGUCUACGACCUCACAAUCGCGUCCAUAUUCUACUACCUUGCGUCAAAUUACAUCCCUACCCUUCCCCACCCUCUAUCCUACGUGGCAUGGCCCGUGUACUGGGCCCUACAAGGUUGUGUACUAACCGGUGUCUGGGUCAUUGCCCAUGAAUGCGGUCACCACGCGUUCAGUGACUACCAAUGGCUCGACGACACUGUCGGCCUCAUCCUCCACUCCGCCCUCCUCGUCCCGUACUUCUCAUGGAAAUACAGUCACCGCCGCCACCACUCCAACACCGGGUCAAUCGAGCACGACGAAGUCUUCGUCCCGAAGCUAAAGUCAAACGUCCGGUCAACCGCAAAAUACCUAAACAACCCUCCGGGCCGAAUCCUAACCCUUUUAGUAACCCUAACCCUAGGUUGGCCCUUAUACCUAAUGUUUAACGUAUCCGGUCGAUACUAC